rnacentral:rRNA from 1 species
GCGGCAUGCCUUACACAUGCAAGUCGAACGGCAGCACGGGAGCAAUCCUGGUGGCGAGUGGCGAACGGGUGAGUAAUGUAUCGGAACGUGCCCAGUCGUGGGGGAUAACGCAGCGAAAGCUGUGCUAAUACCGCAUACGAUCUAUGGAUGAAAGCGGGGGAUCGCAAGACCUCGCGCGAUUGGAGCGGCCGAUAUCAGAUUAGCUAGUUGGUGGGGUAAAGGCUCACCAAGGCGACGAUCUGUAGCUGGUCUGAGAGGACGACCAGCCACACUGGAACUGAGACACGGUCCAGACUCCUACGGGAGGCAGCAGUGGGGAAUUUUGGACAAUGGGCGCAAGCCUGAUCCAGCAAUGCCGCGUGCAGGAUGAAGGCCUUCGGGUUGUAAACUGCUUUUGUACGGAGCGAAAAGGUUCUCUCUAAUACAGGGGGCUCAUGACGGUACCGUAAGAAUAAGCACCGGCUAACUACGUGCCAGCAGCCGCGGUAAUACGUAGGGUGCGAGCGUUAAUCGGAAUUACUGGGCGUAAAGCGUGCGCAGGCGGUCUUGUAAGACAGAUGUGAAAUCCCCGGGCUCAACCUGGGACCUGCAUUUGUGACUGCAAGGCUGGAGUACGGCAGAGGGGGAUGGAAUUCCGCGUGUAGCAGUGAAAUGCGUAGAUAUGCGGAGGAACACCGAUGGCGAAGGCAAUCCCCUGGGCCUGUACUGACGCUCAUGCACGAAAGCGUGGGGAGCAAACAGGAUUAGAUACCCUGGUAGUCCACGCCCUAAACGAUGUCAACUGGUUGUUGGGUCUUAACUGACUCAGUAACGAAGCUAACGCGUGAAGUUGACCGCCUGGGGAG